ACCAUAUUCCCAUUCUUCACUCUCCACCCCUGUUCUGACUUCUACUUAUCCAGGAAGUAUUAUGAAGACAUAUAAGUUAAUGGAAGGAAGAAGAUGAAAUCUUUCUUCCCUUUUGCCGUUAAAUAAAUUGGAACCGCUUUAAAGUGUUCUCUUUGAAAUCCUGUCCACUGAAGACCCCGAGGAAUCAUCAGAAGUUAGGAAACCCAGUUUCUAUUUUGAGUCCUUCUUGUUGAGAAAGGGAAGGACUUAGGAUCCAGCUUUGAGCUAAUGUUACAUGCCGGGAAGGGUCUUAGGCAAUGAAGGUGCUUAUCUGUUGCUCCCAGGUUAGGGCCUCAGUCAUAACAGUCUUCAUUUAUUUUGCUCUUUACAGAGUCUUUAAAAUGAAAGUAAGACUGAUUUAUCACUGAAGAACAUUGAACUCUGGUUGAAAGGCAUUAAGUUCAGAAAAAACAAGUCCAGUGGUUUUAAACUAUAUUGAUGGAGAACAGUCAUAGUAACAGCUAAUAUUUACUUAGUGCUUAUAAGGGACAACUGUGCUAUAUGCUUUAGGAUUCUGUGUAAUUUGUAGUAUGUUUCACGUACAAGUUCACUAAAUUCUUUCAGUUAAUGACGGUGGCAGUUGCUAAGCUAUAGGCCAAGUUAUUCCUUUCAUUCACGGUCUAGGGAGAGAUGACACGGGCAUGUUGAGUCACUCAAAACAGGCUCAAACCACCCCAAGGAGUUUGCUUGAUGAAAGGUUUUCCUUUCCUUCAAAGCCACUUCCUGUGUCACAUGACCUGUAUCACUCCAAAGAUAAUAACACUUCAUGCUUCCAGAACACUUUUAUCCAAAGAUUUCAAAGCAUUUUCAAAUGUUAAUUAAGCCUUCACCAUCCUGGAAGAUAGCAAUGCCAAUCUUGCUGUUUAAAUACUGUAUUCCAGAACACAGGUUGUUCUAAUCACUGAGAGGGAAAUGGAGGCCUCUCUGAGCAAAUCCAGUGUGUAAGCCACCGCCCAAACACUGAUGACACCCACAAUUGUCCUAUGUCUCCUGGGAAACCACCACAGCAUCUCUGUUCUAAAUUGUCCACUGCUCCCACUGGUUGUUUACCUUCGAAGAACCACAUCAAGAAAAAAAGGGGAUUAUAAGCUCCACAAGAACAGGGACACGGUCUGUUCGGCUCACCACUGCAUAACCCAUGCCUGGCAUUUUGGAUGACCUCAAAAAAAGAGCUGUUGAAUAAAUCAGUGCAAUUGAAGCCUCAGUUGAUCUUCUGAGGAACUCUGGAGCUGAGAUGGCCCUUCAGAGAUGUCUGAAUGAAGGAAGCCUCUCCUGAUUUACCUAAGCCUGCUGCAAAACACCUGUUGCUUCCCCAUGGUGACGUGCUUCACAUUAUAAUUUUCUGUUCUGUGUCUGUAUUCCCCAGGAAAACAUAAACCACAUGAAAAAGACCUGGUGUCUAUCUUAUUAACAUUCUGCCUACCAGUAUUCAAAUAAUCAUGAACAAAUUAAAGAAUGAAGAACAAAUUAAAGGCUCCAU